CCAUACAGCUCUGAUUCACCUCUGGGCCCCCUCAUCACCACUUUGUCAAUAUCUAGCUUCCUCAGUCUCGAACCAUGGGUUUAUUGUUGAUACCAGUGAUUAAUGCCAAAACCCUGUUGCCUGGGGAAAGGGUGAUGUUUGACUUUCUUGUACAGCUGCAGUUUGUGUGGUGAAGGUGCUCUCACAAUGUGGUUGGAUUCUACCAUCUGCC